rnacentral:rRNA from 1 species
GACGUAGGGUGCGAGCGUUGUCCGGAUUUAUUGGGCGUAAAGAGCUCGUAGGCGGCUCGUCGCGUCGACCGUGAAAACCCGCGGCUUAACUGCGGGCUUGCGGUUGAUACGGGCGGGCUAGAGUUCGGUAGGGGAGACUGGAAUUCCCGGUGUAGCGGUGAAAUGCGCAGAUAUCGGGAAGAACACCCGUGGCGAAGGCGGCUCUCUGGGACGGUACUGACGCUGAGACGCGAAAGCGUGGGGAGCGAACAGG